UCCGUAGGUGAACCUGCGGAAGGAUCAUUAACACCUUCAUCUACCACCCUGUUCUGAGCUCCUUAGCUGGAGCUCGAGCAGGUCUCAAGCUAUCAUGUGAGAUGUUGAAGUCCUUGACCACAACUUGCCCUCCGGGGUACUGUUUGGUCCUCUAAGCGACGUACACCCGAUUGUCUAAAAAGCAAAGGCUGGAGGAGAAAUCCAAAGGCCGAGUUACUUAAAAUCGAACAACUCUUAACAACGGAUAUCUCGGUUCUCGCAACGAUGACGAGCGCAGCAAACUGCGAUAAGUAGUGUGAAUUGCAGAAUUCUGUGAAUCAUCAAACCCUUGAACGCACAUUGCACCUGGGCGUUAUGUCCAGGUACGCCUGUUCGAGCAUCGGUUUUCCUUCUCAUCCCUACCCUCAGGGGUAUGUGAUUGGACUUGAGCUUCUGACUGACCUCAGUGGCUUGAAACCCAUCGGUGGGCAACCCUCAGGGGACUUCAACCAGGCCUUCAGAACAAUCUCUGGUACUAGAUAUGCCUAGCAUAUACUUUGCCAGGGGACUCUGGACAGGCGGUCUUUGAAUCACUUGGAUACGGGGCUGGCUGGGGCCUUACCAGGGGUCCUUUUGGCGGACCUACCUUUGCAAACCUUCGAUCUCGAAUCAGGCGGGACUACCCGCUGAAUUUAAGCAUAUCAAUAAGCGGAGG
rnacentral:rRNA from 1 species